rnacentral:misc_RNA from 1 species
UUGAUUUUUAAAGGAUGUGCUGGCUGCCCUCACAGGUUUGCAUGUGCACUCCACAAAAUCUCCAUUCUCUACACCAUUGUGCACAACCCAGUAGGCAAAAAACAGGUUCACAGAACAAUCUGUGCACAUUGUCUGCCUAUGCUUUUUAUACCAAACCCCAAUAAUAUGUCAGAAUGAUGUAUUGCAGUAAGCUUUCACAAGCUGAAAUCUAAUA